rnacentral:rRNA from 1 species
UACAGAGGUCUCAAGCGUUGUUCGGAUUCAUUGGGCGUAAAGGGUGCGUAGGCGGCAUGACAAGUCACUUGUGAAAUCUCUGGGCUUAACCCAGAACGGCCAAGUGAUACUGUCGCGCUAGAGUGCAGAAGGGGCAAUCGGAAUUCUUGGUGUAGCGGUGAAAUGCGUAGAUAUCAAGAGGAACACCUGAGGUGAAGACGGGUUGCUGGGCUGACACUGACGCUGAGGCGCGAAAGCCAGGGGAGCAAACGGG